AUAAUUUCUAAUGCUCCUAAAUAAAUGUUUUUGAUUGUUCAAUUCUGACUGAGAUGUGGAAGCUCUGAGUUUGACUUUGUCAUUUAUUGUCCUUAUGUGACAGUUUAUUGAGGGUCAUUGGUUUAUUUUUUAGCUUUAACAGGGAAAUAAAAUGACAUUUUUUGGUGUUGAAAAUUUUACAUUUUAUUUAUAUGUUUUAUGCGUCUUUUAUUAAUAAUUUAUUUUAUUCUACACUCGCAUCAAACAGAUUUUUUAAUCAGCAGAAUUUCCCCAAAUGCAAGCGAAAACACAAGUACAGUACAGAAUACUACAUUACAUUCCUCCCUAACUGAGAGGCCUCCAUCGGGGGACACACAGCGAGUUGUAAAGAGUCUGUGAGAAGUCAGCCUCCAUCGCUGUGAGGAAUCCCCCAGGCUGUAUAUUUCUGAGUCAUCCUGACCUCCCUGCUGCCUUUAAAAUUAUUGUGCUGGUAUAAACCAACGAGGAAGGCUUUUGGUUCAUGAUUAUCUUCCAUUAGAGCCUGAUGCACUAGGUUUCUCCUGCGGCAUGAUCUCCCUCACUGGAGACUUCAGCUUUCUACUGUUUAUUAAAGUCACAUUUCUGGGGCCUCUGAAAGGCCAAUCUGUGAGUCACUUCAUAACUAUUACUGUAGACAGAACAAGAAGUGACAAAGCUGUUAUUUUGAUGUGACAUUUUGAUCAUGUGAUUCUUCCCCCAACAUCCCUGUGGUUUUUCCUCUCAAAAUGUUUACAGCAAUUUUACUGAUUAAUGUGAUUAAUCUAUUCAAAUCUGCAUUCCGUUGAUGUUUUAAACAAUGGUAAAUGAAUAAUACAUAUGCAGUAAAAUACGUUAAAGUUUAUGGAUGUAAUGUGACAAAACAUGAAAAGGUUUAAGGAGUAUCAUGCAUGCAAGGCAUUAUACCCUUAUGUUACUGAUAAACAACUAAAGAAAGAAAGAAAGAAGCUCAUGUUAGUAUAAAAAUCGAUUUAAUAAAAUAUUUAUAUAUAAAUCAACAAGACAUUCCGUUCCUGAAUAUUUUUGAAACAAUUGUCUGUUCAAAUUGCACUGCUUCCUUUUUGCUUCACAUUAGCCACAAAUGUGAAAUUAUUCUUUUGAAAAGCAGGAGAAAAAUCUCCUCCUGAAAACUGAAACAAACGGAGGCCAAAAUGGCAACAUCUUUAGUUUCUACCCCUUCUUCUAGUCGUUGAUGGGUUUCCUAUUUCUAGGUGUUGUUUUGUUCUUUGUCAGUUUUGUUUUUUUUAGCAUUUCUUUGAGUUUUUUUCAUAGAAGAAUGGAGGUGGAAAGAAACAUUUUUUAUUUUUUUUUAUUUCACACAGUUGCUUUAAAAGUUACACUAGAUCUCUUUAUUUUGCCUGUAUUUAAAUUUACAGUAAUCAGAUCUCAUCAAGUGUGGAUUAAAAACUACUUCCCCCCUUUUAGUUGCAACCUUAUUUUCAACAUAUACUAUUUUUUUCUGAUCAUGAUGUUUUCUUAUAAAUAACAAAUACACAGUACACUUAAAGCGAUUUCUACUAGCUGACCUAAAAAACAUGAUUUCAGGGAGAUGAAGAACAGCAUGAUUCUACAAAGUGAGUGCUGUAAACAAAGACGACGUCCUCGUUAUUCUGCUUUGGACACUGUAACCUGCAGAUAUUGAAGCAGUCUGCUGAGGUGGAGAUUCUGACCGCAGGACUGCGCCUCUUUCAGCCCGUUUAUGUGACGCAGAUCUGUGGGUUUUUCCUGCAGAUCCCAGCGUGAAGGAGAAAACGCUGCCAGAACAAAAAACGGGAGUGCUUGACAACGAUGUAAAAUAGAGGAAACAAUCACGCAACUCCAGCCGAUAAUGAAAAGGACGCAGGCAAGCUGGGCGUAUUAACAUAAUUGCACAGAAACUGGGAGCAGGCCUGUUUAAAGGCGCAGCAGCAGCGGCAGCUCUGCAACAUUACCAAUCACAGAGCUUCAUUCUCAAAGCGUUACACUCACAUUCAUUGCAGAUUAUUUUUUAUUUAGUUGUGAAGGUACAGCCUGUCUUCAGUGCAAUAAUUGUACUUUUUAAAAAAAAUAAUGAUUCUGAUAUAGUUAAUUUUAACUGCUUGGAAAACAAUAGAGGGACUGUUCCUUUAUUAGGAAGCUGACUGUAAUUAGACAUGCAGCUCCGGGGAGGGCUUAGAGCAAAGCUGGUAAUUGCAUAUAAGCAAUGCACACAUACCUGCCUCCUAAUGAGGUAUUUAAUCAAUUAAAGUGUAGACGUUGUCAAUAUUUAUUCUAACGUCAUCUUUAUAAUUUUUCUUAGGUAAUCUUAUAAAAUUCCAAAACAUUGGGUUUUGAGGAGUACAAAAUGCUCUCCACCUUAAAUUGCACCCGCAGCUUCCACUGAGUGAUCUGGGUCGGUGUUUUGCGCUGCAGCUGCAGGAGACCUGUUGGCCUGUAGUGUGUGUGUGUGUGUGUGUGUGUGUGUGUGAGCGUGAGCGAGAGAGAGGCUGGUACAGUAAAUGCCAGGCCCAGAGGUGGGAACGACAGGCCAGACCAGACAGUAGCAGAUGCCUGCAUUAGAGCAGCAGCAGCAGUCAGAGCAGCUCAUGGAAAGUUGUUCCUUUGUGUUCCUACCACUGACUCUUUGACCAUGUGUAUGAAUGUGAAGAAAUGUGGUGUUUUAUGUCAGAGGUACUGAAACAGAACAUGUCCAGUGUGUGACAUGUUUGUGCUGUGUGAAAAAAGGCACCUUCCUUAACAUAUUAGUUUUUUUAUUACAUUAACUUUUAUUGCAGUAAUUUAUUCAUAUUCGUAUUAUGUUGAUAAAUCUUUCACUAAAGUCUUUACUUCUAGCAGUCACUUGGUGAGCAGUAAUACAUCUCAGAAAAGUGUUAACUUGGAUCUCACAACUUAUUAUUUUUCAGAAAGCUUUAAUUUUAUUGCAGCAACCCAGAGUUUGUUAGCCUUUUAAAUUAGGUGUAUUUUCAUAUGCAUUGCACAGAUCAGACUGUGACUGUUUCUGAACAAUUGUUAAGGUGAUGAUUCCACAGCAGGAUGUUUGUGGUCCAAAUAAGACCACCAGUCUGAAAAUUUCUAAAGGCAGCACUCUUCACCUCUCCUUUUUCCCAAAGGGUACGACAGCUGUGAUCCUGUCUUAAUCUGGGGAUAAACAUGAUUAUCCUGCUAUGGCUUGUUCUUGGCUUUGUAGCAGCGACAGGGGACCUUUGAGAACACCAGUUUUCCCAUGUUUGAGUAGACCUGAUCAGCUAAGACCCCUCGUGUGGACCAGUCUUCCAUCAGGAGCUUUGAACAAGGGCAAACAAGCAGUACUGCAUCUGCAGAGACAUACAGAUAAUAAACCAUCACUUCUAAAAGCAUUUAUCGCCAUAGAUCCUCAUUUGAUUUUGCUAAUAAUACAGAAUGCAUUUCUUUGGAGUGUUCAAUAUAUUUUGCACCUUUUGUAAAAAGUAAUUUCCAUUUAAAUUGUUUUACUAAUUAUAAUAAAAAUAUAUUUUUCUUAUUUUUUGAAAGAAAAAACACAAGAGGGUAGUUUGUUUCCUAUCCAGUAAAUGGAAAUAAAAAUAAUUAAGUGGGAGGAGUGCAAAAUCGAUAAAUAAGUCAUCAGAAAGUGGAAUUUGCUAUUAUGCAAAUUGCUAGAUUUACAGUACAUAAAACAUAUCUUUACCAAGUGAAAAACUAUGAAAUCACAUUUUUAAGGGAUAUCAACACCAGGGAAUGAUAAACAUAUAAAUGUAGAAAUUACAUUUUAAUGGCAGCCCAUUAAAAAGGUUCAUUUUAAAUAUAUUGUUCGUUUUUGUGUAACCAAAAGCCCAACUAAGGAAAAUAGCUUAGUCUACAAAUGUUAAAGUAAAAUAUUAAAUUGAGUAAAAUGGUGAUCAUUGGCACAAAACAUCCUUAAAUGACACAGAUUUUUCUAUUUAUUUUUUAAUUUUUAGGAAAGUCUCAGAAAAAAAAGUGAUGAAGAAUUUUAAUUCAUUCAGAAAUACAGAAUUUGGCCAAACUGUAUGCCACAUUAUAAGCAUUUUUAUAAGCAUUUUUAAUGAGAGUAAAUGGCAUACAGAAUGUCCUUAUGGACACAAAUUACUCCAUUUAGUUUGAAAGGCAAAUAAAAGUAUUUAAGGGAUAAAACAACAAAAAAAUAAAAAAUUAGAAAUCAACAAAAAAUACACAGCUUGCCCAAACCUUAUGCAAUUUGAAUCAAAGUUAUGCCAAAAUAAAAUAAAAAAACAGUUUUUAUGUGUUUUAAUUCUAAUUGUUUCUGUUACUGUUUUAUAAAUUAAACUAAUUGUUCAUUCACAAUAUAAAAGCAAUCAUUUGCAUUCAUAACAUUGAAAGUAUUUCAUUUAGAGAGAAAAUUUCCCAGGAGUAGAUUUCCAUUUCAACCCGCCAGUCGUUCAUUAUGACAGUCAAGUUCAAGUUCAGAGGGGCAGAAACGUCUCGACUCCUCAGCCACUGCUGUCCUAACACUCCCCUCCUUCUGCACUCUGCGAUGACUCCAUGGCGUUACCAUGACACAGAGGCUGUGGUGUUGUUAUGGCAGCAGGCUGAACGGCCCAGCUAUGUGCUGGUGAAAAGGACAGCCUGUCAGAGAGACCAAGAGAGACUCAGGACCCCCACCCCAUCCCAACCCAACAGCUGGGCACAGUCCCCCACCUCCCUGCCACCUCCUCUUAGAGCUACCCACCCUCAGGCUUUUCAACACCCUCAGGCUUUUCAAACAGCACCCAGACCCUGGGAACAACUAAACAUUUCACAUUCAUCAUUCUCACACACACACACACCCUUCUCAACCUGCUCCUAAAUCAACUAUUUGUCCCUAAAAUCCAGACCCUAAUGUAAUGUCACACUCCACCUUCAGCCACAACACUCCCACACACCAAAAUCCUCUUUGUCUUUUCUUUCUACCCACCUGCGCUCUGUAAUAAAUAUUUCAAAUUCGAAACACAAAAUUGGAACAAGGUCCAUAUUUACGUGAGUUUACAAUCCCACUCUCUCUUUGUGUGUGUACGUGUGUGUGUGUGUGUGUGUGUGUGUCUGUGUGUGUGUGUCUGUGUGUGUGUUUGUGGGAGCAAGAGAGAUUUAGUUGAGCUCUCAUUCAAGUUUGAGCUUGAAAGGUUGGACAUUUGCAUAAACUGCAUGCUGUCUGAGGGGAUAGGGGGUGAUGUGGCUCUGAGAAAAGAUAUGAGAGAACAUGGAAAAGAAAAGGGGGGGGGACAGCAGAAUCCUCCAUUGUGAAUCUGAAGAAGAAAGAGAGGGUUUGAAUAAGAGAGAGGGUGAAAAUUGGCAGAGAAAGAGCCUUACCAUGUCCCCCAAUAGGAUUAAAAUGUCCAGGACCCUUUUUUUACUUAUAAUUUGGUGAAUCUGGAAGCCGCAUGGCUGCAUGGCCUGGGAGUCAAACAGCCAGCACUCAUAAGAACUGACAGAAGUUACCUGUAAACUAUGCAACUGUUGUUCACAUCAUGUAACUUACUUCUGCGUGUUUGCAAAAGAAUAUUAUUCCAACUAAUUUAAAUGUUUUGCAUUAACAAUUAUAUUCUCUCUUUUUUUGUAGCGAGGCUCAGUCCACCAAUGCUUCUGAGAGGGAGAAUUGGCAGAUCUUCUACCAGCAUGUUGGAAUCAGACACUGGGUGUAAAAGGAUAGUGACAGCUUGUCUGAAAAUGAAGGACACGCUGUACCCAGAUUGAACAGUUCACACUAACUAUACGACAUAAAGACUUUGCAAUACUUGUGGAGUUAGUAAAGUGUAUUUCUCAUGUGAAAAGAGACAAUAUAGGUUUAGGGCUGUAAAAUCCUGUCUGAAAACUUGAUCUCUGUUCAGAAUAAACAAUAACUAUUACAUUAGAGUUGAUCUUUAUUUAAAUUACGUCAGGUAGAGGAAAACUGUUAAAAUUUAAGCUCCACUCGAUGUUUUUUUUAAUCUUUUUAUAUUUAUUUAUGAUGCUGAAAAUGUGAAAAUGCUGAUAAGUGAUUUUUUAUGUAAGCUGUUUACUCAUAUUCUCAAUAAAAUAUGCCAAAUGUA